CAAGGUUUUUCAAUAAUGCAGUUACGUACAGCUGUUUCAAGAGAGGUCUAUUGUCUGGCUCUGUAUGAAGGUCUUGAACAGGUUUUGACAAUAGCAGAAUUGGCAUUGCUAGAGGAUCGGGUGAAAGCACAUCUGCAAACAGCGGCAGUGAGGAACACCCGAGGCAUCAUUCGCAGAUAACUUGAUGCACUAGAAGCCUUCAAGAAGGGGAAAUCAAUGAAAGCUGCAUUUGAUGCUAUUGGAGUGGACAGAAAUACAAUUGCAAGAACUACAAUUAUUGCAGAAUUGCAUCUUGCUGCCCCUGAUGUUUUGAAGUCCAUGGGCCAGUGGAACGAUAAAACGGAGACAUUGAGCACAUUUAUUGGUAGAUGUCGUUCUGCACUGACCACUGAAAUUAAAGAAAAAAAAUACUCAAAUGAAAACA